rnacentral:tRNA from 1 species
CCCCGGCUAGCUCAGUCGGUAGAGCAUGAGACUCUUAAUCUCAGGGUUCGGUCGGGUUCGAGCCGGCCCUUUGGGG